rnacentral:rRNA from 1 species
AGAUUGAACGCUGGCGGCAUGCCUUACACAUGCAAGUCGAACGGCAGCACGGGAGCAAUCCUGGUGGCGAGUGGCGAACGGGUGAGUAAUACAUCGGAACGUGCCCAAUCGUGGGGGAUAACGCAGCGAAAGCUGUGCUAAUACCGCAUAAGAUCUACGGAUGAAAGCAGGGGAUCGCAAGACCUUGCGCGAAUGGAGCGGCCAUGGCAGAUUAGGUAGUUGGUGAGGUAAAGGCUACACCAAGCCUUCGAUCUGUAGCUGGUCUGAGAGGACGACCAGCCACACUGGGACUGAGACACGGCCCAGACUCUACGGGAGGCAGCAGUGGGAAUUUUGGACAAUGGGCGAAAGCUGAUCCAGCCAUGCCGCGUGCAGGAUGGAAGUCCGUUCGGUAGUAACUGUACGUUUGUACGUAAACG